rnacentral:rRNA from 1 species
UACAGAGGGGGCAAGCGUUAUUCGGAAUUAUUGGGCGUAAAGCGCACGUAGGCGGAUUGCUAAGUCAGGGGUGAAAUCCUGGAGCUCAACUCCAGAACUGCCUUUGAUACUGGCGAUCUCGAGUCCGGGAGAGGUGAGUGGAACUGCGAGUGUAGAGGUGAAAUUCGUAGAUAUUCGCAAGAACACCAGUGGCGAAGGCGGCUCACUGGCCCGGUACUGACGCUGAGGUGCGAAAGCGUGGGGAGCAAACAGG